UUGAUCCUCAGUUGAGAUACCUUUUCACGGUGUAGUGGUGAGGUCUGGGUAGUUCUAGACUGGCUAAUUGUAGCUGUAGGAGCUUAAUCUAAAAUGUAGGCAUUUGAAAAGAACACCCCUUGCUCUUUUUCUUGAUAAUGAAACGAUAAUAGCGUAGAUUUCAACAAGCUGAGAAUCCCGUAAAUCAAAAUGGCGGAGUCAUCGCCCGGUUGACGAUUACUGCGUAGAACCUUUCGCGAUAUCGUAGAAACCUGGGGCAGAAAAAAGGUUGGAAAAUAAAUGAAGAGCCCGUUAUGAUUGCAUCGUUUCAUCGUUCAAACGGCGGAUGGUUGGUUGCAUCUCGUAUCCCGUUUACCGGCAAACAAAACUUAAAGAUCUCGAGACGAGUUGAGGACGCGGGGGGCUCCUUAAAUAGUGAUCAGCGUUAAUGUUUCAUCGUAACUUUUCGAAAAGUUAUCUAAACAUUUCAAGGUAUAUUAUAGUUUACCAAAAAUAAUAUAAAUAUUAUAGUACUCUGGGACUACUAAUUAAAAACAAAACCAAUAACGUUUUACGCUAAAAUUAAUACGACGUUAACUAAUUUGGCGUCUCUAAAAAUCUAAACACCGUGAAUAACUCGACAUUAAAUGAAGUUAAAAGCAACUUUAGCAAGGAUAAAUUUUACUAUACUACUACAUACAAAAUUAACCCGGGUAAUUAGUACAUAACACCACCUAAUUUGAAUAAAACAAUUCGGUAAAUCCGGUUCCGGUGUGUUAGAUUCAAAGAGCAAUAGUUAAGUGGAACUAACCAAAUCAGAAAACAAAAAAGAAAACAAAAGCUAGAUUUAGGAGAUACAAUAAUUGUUUACAAUGUUUGAUUUUCAGAUGUAUUUUUUUAUCUCGGAGUCGGCAGGCAGGGUUUUCGUGGCACGGAUACGAUAGGCAGCGAUAUUUCAAAAUGUUUAAAAUCUUAUUCCGCUAAAAAAACUUGUCUUUGUGAUGCAUAAAAUAUUGUGUAAAUUUUAAAAUCACCAAACCAAAUUACCUAAAUAAAGUUCUAAUAGUAGUAGCAUAUCUUUUAUUCAAAUAAAAAAAUGAUUUUCAGGUUCACUAUGCAUAUAUUGCGUAGUAAAAAAAUAUGAUUUUAGUACUAUUUUCAGGAUUUGAAACUAAAUGCAGUAUAUACCGGGCGAUGACUAAAUAGGUUUUUUUUUAAAAAAGAUCUAAUAAGUCAGGUAAAUUAUAAGUCAUUUUUUUAAUUACGAAGCUUUAAUAAUAUUCUUUAGAUGGAAAAUAGAUUAAUAAAAAAUUAAGAAAAGGUAUUUAAAAGGUAUCUCCCAGCUUAGGUCGAUCCUUUAGGAAGUUUUUUAAUGGUUUUUAAAAUAAAAUUAGUUGCUUAAUAUUUGAUAAGCGAAGAGAUCCCAAGCUUGGUUAGCACAGGGUAAUAGGGACAGGUAUAUGACUAGGAAAUAUUUUGAAGGUGUGUACAGAAAACUAAGCUGCAAAGUGGUUGCUAAACAAAUAACUGUAUGCUUAAUUUGGUGAAUAAACAUAGGAUUAGGUUUAAAUUAUUAUAAAAAGAUUAGAUAUAUAUUUAAUUAGAUGUAUGCAGCUAAAGUUACCACAACUUAAAGCAACGGGUUUUUUUAAGUUAUUCAUAGGUUAAUAAAACACUACACAUACACUGAUCUACUGUUAUAGUUACCUUGAUGAGGCUGUAAUUUAACGAUAAUAAACUUUAGAAAAUUUAUUGGAAUUUUUUGGACAAACUUCAGAUAUAUCUAUAUCUCAUUCUUCUGUAUUGUUUGUUAUUUGGUAAUUGUGGAACAUUGUUUUAAAAAGAAAUAAAAUAUGAUUGAUGAACAAUAUUAUGACUACAUAUAAUGGAACACAUACAUACAUAUUAGAUAGACUAGGUAUGUCAAAUAUUACAUUAAAAUCACACUCAUCUAGCUUAUCUCAUUCAUAAUUAAACAUUACAGAAGAAUACACAAGAUGUUUGCUACAAAGAGCAAAUAUUUAUAUUACAGAAUAUUUAACUUCUAAAGAAGCAGGAGGUUAGGUAAUAGGGAAUAAGGUUAUUGAAAAUUUAGUAUCUAUCGCUGUUAUGAGUGCUUACAGAUUAGGAGGAUUACAGAUUAGGUUAGAUAGUCGCUCAACAAAUAAAACUUAAUUUUUAAUAACCUGCUUUAAACUUCAAAGCUUAUAUUAUAAUUAAGUUCGCUUAAAUGUAAUAUAAGUGUCAUGCGGCAGAUAUCUACUGAGUUUCUUGCCGGUUCUUCUCAGUGGAUGUUAGGUUCCGAACCGGC